rnacentral:SRP_RNA from 1 species
UUGUGCUAAGCGGGGAGCUAGCGGUGCCCUUUUCCCGAAAUCCGCUUUAUGCGGGGCUGAAUUCCCUUCAGAGGAUUUUAUACCGACAGCGUGUUGUCAUGCUGACCGGCCGCCGCGCAACAGACGGUCGCGAACCUCGUCAGGUCCGGAAGGAAGCAGCGAUAAGUGAUGCGGUCUGUGUCGUGGAACGAUCCCGGUCAGUUCAUGAAUCAUGCGGUACGGAGAGAAAUUCAAUAAAGGGUGCACAA